GGAGCAGAGCCAGUAGCAGCUGGUCCUCGUAGCCCUGAGCUACCUGGGCGGCUUCCGCAGGAUCUUCCCCUGCCCGGGAGGGGAGGAGUACGACAAGUACCUCAAACACAGCAGCUCUUCCAACAGACUGCUGCCACCAAGGCCAGAGAGAGGUGCACCAGAGAGCAGUUGCAGGAGCAGCAUGAGAAACAGAGCCAGAGGAGGUGUCAGAGACUGGGCCUGAAGGGUAAAAUCCACAAAGUGCCCUUCUGUCCCGUCCAUCUCGAUGGGGCUGCAGCUGAGAGCCAGCCUGCUCAGAGACCUGGGCAUCGUAGACCAGGUGUACCAGCUUCUCAAGGGAAUGCCCUUCUAUAAAGACGUCACAGUGCCACUUGUUGUCAAGACUGACUCACGGCAAUACAUAAGCAACAUGGCUGCCAAGCUGGAGUCGUAGGGUGACCGCUGCAGUGCGACCAAAGAUAAGGAGCCCUCUGUACUGUCUGAGUGUCACCCUCCCGGGACUGUUCUGUCUUAGCCCUAUUGGCCCUGGCGGGACCAAGACUUGCACCCCCAGGGGCUGGGCCACAGUGUCUCCAUCAUGCCUCUCCAGGGCAUGUGCCCAAAUUGGGUGUGAAGUGCACCGAUUCGGAGUGAACAAUGUUUCCUCU